GUAUCAAAGAAGAGUUUUCUUUUUAUAAGUGCAAGUAAAGUAUCUAUAUGUUCAUAAAAUAUAAGAAAAUAAGAAUAAGUUUUGAGUAUUUUUUAUCGAGUAACUGAACCUCUUUACCUAAGAAAUCAUUGAGUCUUAUAUCAAAAAGUAAAAAAUAUGAAAAAAUUUUAUCCUUUGAAAAAAAAGAGGCAAGUUCUAAACAUUGGUCUCCCACCGAGUAACUGGAUCUCUUUGCCUU
rnacentral:lncRNA from 1 species